rnacentral:rRNA from 1 species
UGGGGAAUAUUGCACAAUGGGCGCAAGCCUGAUGCAGCGACGCCGCGUGCGGGAUGACGGCCUUCGGGUUGUAAACCGCUUUUGACUGGGAGCAAGCCCUUCGGGGUGAGUGUACCUUUCGAAUAAGCACCGGCUAACUACGUGCCAGCAGCCGCGGUAAUACGUAGGGUGCAAGCGUUAUCCGGAAUUAUUGGGCGUAAAGGGCUCGUAGGCGGUUCGUCGCGUCCGGUGUGAAAGUCCAUCGCUUAAC